rnacentral:rRNA from 1 species
CCUUAGGAUAGGAUCGCGCCCGAUUAUGGCUGUUGGUGAGGUAACGGCUCACCAAACCUAUUAUCGGUAAGGGCCGUGAGAGCGGGAGCCCUGAGAUGGGUACUGAGACAAUGACCCAGGUCUUACGAGAUGCAGCAGGCGCGAAAACUUCACAAUGCACGAAAGUGUGAUGAGGUUACCCGGAGUGCUACUUUAGCUGUGGCAAGUGGGUAAGAUCCCUUGCUACGAAGGAGAGGGCAACGCUGGUGCCAUCCGCCGAGGUAAAACCAGCUCUUCAAGUGGUUGGGACUUUUAUUGGGCUUAAAGUGUCCGUAGCCGGUAUAGUAAGUUCCUGAGUUAAUCGGAUCGCUUAACGAUCUGUCGGCUACGAAUACUACUAUA